rfam:Clostridium oryzae strain DSM 28571 CLORY_contig000092, whole genome shotgun sequence.
AAGAACAUCAGGUAGAUAGGUUAGAGGUGUAAGUGCAGUAAUGUAUUAAGCUGACUAAUACUAAUAGGUCGAGGGCUUGACCAA